rnacentral:rRNA from 1 species
UACGGGGGGGGCAAGCGUUGUUCGGAAUUACUGGGCGUAAAGGGCGCGUAGGCGGUCUGCUAAGUUGGAUGUGAAAACUCUGGGCUUAACCCAGAGCCUGCAUUCAAUACUGACAGGCUAGAGUUCUGGAGGGGAUAGCGGAAUUCCUGGUGUAGCGGUGAAAUGCGUAGAUAUCGGAAGGAACACCUGUGGCGAAAGCGGCUCACUGGACCAUUACUGACGCUGAUGCACGAAAGCUAGGGGAGCAAACAGG